AUUGAACGCUGGCGGCAGGCCUAACACAUGCAAGUCGAGCGAGCGGCGGACGGGUGAGUAAUGUCUGGGAAACUGCCUGAUGGAGGGGGAUAACUACUGGAAACGGUAGCUAAUACCGCAUACCAUCAGAUGUGCCCAGAUGGGAUUAGCUAGUAGGUGGGGUAACGGCUAACCUGGGCGCCGAUCCCUAGCUGGUCUGAGGGGAUGACAAGCCACACUGGAACUGAGACACGGUCCAGAAUCCUCGGGGAGGCAGCAGUGGGGAAUAUUGCACAAUGAGCGCAAGCCUGAUGCAGCCAUGCCGCGUGUGUGAAGAAGGCCUUCGGGUUGUAAAGCACUUUCAGCGGGGAGGCGUUACCCGCAGAAGAAGCACCGGCUAACUCCGUGCCAGCAGCCGCGGUAAUAC
rnacentral:rRNA from 1 species